UUUCCAGGCUCCCAAUGUGAUUUGAGGGUCCAGCAAGGUGCCCCUACUGUCUACCUUGGAAGGACAGUAGGGACUCUAGGACACAAAUGUAGAGGUUGAACAGUGACCAUUUCUCUCAGCUUCUCCAGAUACCCUGAUUCAGAAGCUCUGUCCUUAUGGUCCAUGGACAGUGGCACUUCCUAAACCAGGUAGCAAGUGUGAAUCAACAGGUAUGGCCCUCAAAGACCCCGUAAGCUGGCUCUUGCCUGCAUGUAGCCAUGGGCCUUGGGGAUAUGGAGCCUGGGCUGUGGCUCUUGUGUGCUUCUAGAAGCUCAGGCCUAACGUGUCUUCUUCAGUGGCUUCUGAUGUCCUGGGCAGCUCACAGCUGAGUAGAGGGGUCUAAGAGAAUAGGCUGGACGCAGUGGCUGAUCUCUUCCUUAAUGCUCCAACUCUAGCUUCUGUCCUUCCUCAAGGAUGGACAGAAUGGCCCCAAUCAAGUCCAUCUGAUAGUUUGUCCACCACAGGGUCCUUCCCUUCAAAGACUGGGAGCUCCUGGAGAAAUGGCCCUGGAGAAUCCUCACCCAUCCUUCCCCUCCCUCUGCACAGAUGCUGUGCUAUCAUGGAGUCCAUGCCUCUGCCCCCAAUACUGUAUGUAUAUUUGCAUAUUGCCUUAUUUCAAAUGCAUCCAGGGAGUCAGUUAUUUAAAGAAAUACUAUAGAAGAUCCUUUGGUAAAGACUGGAAUCACUUUGAUUUAUUUUUUGUGUAAGUUUGGAUUUUCGUCUCUCUAGAGAUGGGGUGAGGGAGAGGCUGCAGGCAGGUUUACAUCUUUCUACAGCCUUCAGUACUGGCCCCUGCGUACUCCUGUGUGGCUCAGUAUGUCUAAAUCAGAUUUGCUUUAUUUGACAAGCAUGGUUCCAAGGCCAUCUGUGUGUCAGUCUCAGUAUGCUGGAGGUGAAAAAAGAGAGACAAGACCCAGUCCUUGCCUCUCAGAGUCACUGAGGGAGACAGAUAUGUGCCAGGUGCAUCAACCCAGGAGUGUUCAAGGGGAAUUGUGGUUGCACUGAGGGAGGUGGGACUGACUUUGCCCCAGACUCCAGAAGACAUGGAAGGCUUCAUGGAGGAAGUGAUUUUAAUGCAGCUUUGUGGUUGGUAGAGUUCAAACAUGGCAAACAAGCAGGGAAUGGCAGGUGGGUGUGGUUUAAGUGGAGGAUGCAAAGUGGGGACAUGAUAAGACUAGGGAGAUAAAGAGAUUAGGGUAACAAGCAGGGCCAGGCCGAGAUCUGUGUGUAGACCUAGGAGGCUGGUUUCAAUUCCAAAAACAAAGGGGUUAGAAUUGGGUUGUGUUUCAGGAGUGACGCACGCUUACUUUUAUUUUAGGA
rnacentral:lncRNA from 1 species